CUUGCUUCUUUACUUGCUUAUAGUGGAUAGUGGAAUAGGAACUUGCUUCUUUACUUGCUUAUAGUGGAUAGUGGAAUAGGGAAUAAGUGCGAACUGACUCUGAUCUGUAUUCGGAGUCUGAUCCGGAUUAUGCUUAGGCUGACUUAGCGGGGGCUGCUGACUUUCCUACAAAGCUCAUGGGCGAACACCCUAAUUUGGAUGGACUUGAGACCCUUUCUUCUGCUGACUCAUCUAUUACUGCUGACUCAUCUAUUACUGCUGAUUCUAAUGCUCCUGACUCCUUCGUAAGCGCAACUUCUAACUCCAUUCCGUUAACGAGCGGGUGCCUUAGGGAGUUGGGGGUAUUGUUUGUAUAUAAUGGGGUAGGUCAUAUUCAUGGAUUCUAUGAGAGAUGGAUUCAAUGAUUCAAGUGUAGAGUUUCUAGAGUAGAGAAGUCAAGUUAGUUAUAGUCAGUAAAUAUGUAGUUGUAAGUUAGUUAUAGUCAGUAGAUAUGUAGUUGUAAGUUAGUUAUAGUCAGUGUAGUUAAUCAAUUAUGGAAUCAGGUAACAACCUAUAUAUGGGAAUUCUAGUUUCUGGGUGCCUCUAUUCGUUCUGAAGCUGCCGUUAGCGAGUUAAUGGAAAGUCAGGAGUCAGGCUACUUUCUAAUAACUAAAAGAAAGCAUCGUCAAUGAUAUAUGUGCGUGGAUAUGUUCACUAUUGAUUCAAUUGAGAAGAAAGAGUGCACCCCAGUGAAAGGCUAACAGGGAAAGAAAACAUUCUAUUCUUUGUCCUCUCAGAGCUAAUUCCAUAGCUGUGGACUAACUCGCCACGGGAAAGCUAGCCAUGAGUUAAUGUUCUAAGCCCUAUGAAUGAAUGUGCAUUUGAUUCCGAAAGACCAGAUGAAAUAGCUCCUCCUUUCCUUCUAUUGCAGCAACAGCACUUUAGAGAGAACACCUUAAGCUCCUCUCUGCACUAAGCCAAACUGGAGACAUAUUAAUGUGCACAGGCAAUUCGAAAAAGCAUUCUCCUACAGUUACUAGUCCUAGCAAAGAGCGGCACCAUCUAUUCUAGCAAACCCAGAGGGGCAGCAAGAACAAGAGGCUUUUUGAAGAGAUUGUGUUUCACUACAUACAAGAAAUGCAGAUUCUGAUUGAAAACCACAUCUUCCUCUGUUGGGCUCGAGUUGCAUAAGCCUGAUUACGGGGCAUCCCAUCCGCCCGGAGUGGCUUCUGAUUCCAUAGCUAACUAAGCCCUUCGUGGGAAAGAAGAGAGAGCCUUUGAUAUGAGUCUCACAGCUCCUUAAGAACACUUGCUACCGUGGCCUAAAUGCGUAGCACCUUCUUUCUCCGCUUUCAUUGAAAUCGCAUGAAACCCCGUAUUUGAUUCCUAAACAGCUAAGAGAUAGGAGAGCCAAAUUCCCCAUUAUCGAUUGAGCAAGCAGAGGAACAAGCUUUAGUUCAGAAAGAUUCCCCAUUAUCGAUUGAGCAAGCAGAGGAACAAGCUUUAGUUAAUAAUCUAUAGUAUAGUACUUGAGUGGGGAACCGACCCUAUACACAUUACAUUCAGGACAGAGGCAUAGGCACCGUGAAUAAGCGUACCCAGAACAGGAAAGAGAGACAGAGGAGUUUCGUUAUGAUUUCAUAAUGUGUAAGCAGUUUUGUUACCUCUUUCUAUAAAGUGUCCCUAAGCAGUAAUCUAUAUUGAUUUGAUUAGUUGAGUCUCAUUGGGUGCUUUUGUUGUCUACAAUAGAAUAAAGAAUGCUUAGCCCACGUAGCUUCUAACACUUACUGAGUGAAACGUGUGAGAGAAUCGGCGUAGCUUGUUCGUUCGGUUGAAAGAUGUUGUAGGCCAGGCCACGCAGCCAAGAAGAAAUGUAAAGAACGAGAGUUGUUGAAACUAGCAUAUUGGAAGAUCAAUCGGCUUAAAUAACCAUGAGCAGCUACAAUACUCUAUUGUAAAGUCUCUUCCUCUUUACCGAAUCAGUCACUUGCUAACGCGGAUUCGUUUUCAGUGAUUUCCCUGAUGAAACAAGAGUGGACCAAGGAACCAUGCAUAGUACUAGGGCCGAAUACACCAGAGCUACACCUAACAUGUGAAAUAGAUGCAUAAGGAUGUUGUGUUCUGCCAGUAAUACAAUCAUGAAGUAGAAAGUACCAGAUAUUCCAAAAGGCAUACCAUCUGUAUUCCUAAAGGCAUAUCGUCAGAGAAACAUCCUUGACUAAUAGAAUCAAUAGGGUCGAUCAAGAAAACUGCAGUAGCAACGAGCAUCAUAUGCAACAGCAAUCCAAGGACGCAUACCUAUAUUGAAACGGCAACUCAGGACCCAUGUAAUAAGCUACACCAAGUCAUAAGUGUCAAACAAUUAGCUUCUACGGGACCGCCAUUGUAGAACCACUCAACACAGAUGCAGCUUGCUUCCCGGAUAGGGUCGUCAACCUAUAGCUGUCAAAGUCGGAAUAAUAGCACUAACUAACCAGAGAGAAGAAUAUUUCUAUGAAAGGUAUAGAACGAGAAACAGGUUAACGAAUACCAUCAAUCAAUAUAUACAGGAGGAGAGCAGCAAUGAAGGCUAUCUUCAAUACAACGGUUGCGUUGCGGUCAAUAAGGUAGGGAUCAUCAAAACACCGAACCACCCAAUGAAUGUAAAGACGGUUUUCAAUGUGCGUAGCAGAAGCGACCCACUUUCGCGUCUCUCUAAAAUGGCAGUCAUGGUAAGAUCUUGGUUUAUUCCAUUAUUAAGGACUCCCAAGCACACGUAUUAACUAUAACUAGAAUGAGAUAGAUAAUAGAAAGCGCUUGUUAUUUAACAGUAUAGCAUGGCUUAUAUGGCAAUGUCAACCAAUCAAUCUUUCUUUCACAGUUUGUAGUAUGUGUUGCUCGGGACUCGAACCCUGAACUAGUCGGAUGGCUAAUUGGAGCUUUUCACAAUAGAGGAAUCAAUCUCUUCCCUCCCCAAACCAACCGUGCAUUUUGUCAUUGCACACGACUAUCCCUAAGCAAAGUAUACAUAUCAAAACCAUCCCGAUCUCCAAUUCAUAAAGUAUCUGAAUUUAUACUACUCAGUGGAUUCAACCACUACACUACUUACAUGAGCAUUUCAUAAUCAGAAUUAGUUCAUAUUUGGAUCUCUUGAUUUAGAUACUAGUUGCAGCGAGAAUGGAAUUUCCACAAUUACUACAUUACCUUCUGAUAUUAGAUUCAAAUGGGAAUCAAAAGAAUUGUUGUGCCCAACCGGCUAGGGGUAAGAAUCAUUAACCGAGAGAAGAAAUCAUAUCAUUUUGUUGAUACAUUCGCGUUUCACAAGUAAGGAACUAGAUUUAUUAACACCCAACUCAAUUAACGGGUUCAUCAAAAUGGGAACUAUGGAAACUGUGAUCAUAAGCAAAUACGUAAAUAUACUCCUGAAAAACGAAUGGAUAUAUAGGGUGUUGCCGAGAUCUCUCCUUUUCCAAAUAUCCGAGUCAUUCUUCCAUUGACAUUUCCACUUUAAGCGGGGGUAGGAAGCUUUUCUUGGGUUCUCAAAUGAUACAUAGUGCAAUAUGGUGAAAACUGGGUGAAGUCAGAGAUAGAGGCAGCUACGGGACUAUAUCCCAUAUCCUCAGUGACCGGUGCUUACAAAGCGCUUAUUAAUAAAAGGAAAACCUUGUUGAGUUCGAUUUCUUAUUCGCAUAUUACGGAAAAGAAGUAGCCCCACUUUCAAGUUACUACUGCCCAUUCAAUAUCACAAUCUAUAGUCUAGUUACAGAUCGAGAUGAAUAUGCUUCUAUAACCCUUAGAUCCAUGGGCUCGAAGUAAGACAAUCGUAGGACUGCUUGCUUCUCUUGCCACUUCAGCCUUAAGUCAAAUGCUUCUUCACUAUCCACAGCCACUUCUGAUCUUUCUUGAGUCAAUCCGUUAUAGGCCUCUGGAAUAAUAUCCGAUCCUAGUUAGCCCAUAGAAAAAAGAGCUUCACUCAGACACUUGGGUCCAAUCCACAAUGGCCUUAACUUCCUUCCCAGCCAUUCGAAUCCUUCCCAGCCAUUCAGAACCUGUUGCUCAAGGCCUGUCGGGCAAAGUCACUGAUUAUUUGUUACAUAUAGAUUGUGCUCCCUUAACCGAGCUUUCCUAAGGUGGUACAAGUCAUCCUAUAGGGAACUAACUAUGGACAAGAAUGUAAUAAAGAUAGACAAACAAUAAGAAAGCGAUCAAUAAAGUGAGAAGUUCUAAAGGACAGCAAUCAUCAAAUGUUAGAAAGAAGGUAAGGCCGGCCGCAUAAAAUGUUAGAAGGUAGGCCAGGCCGUUCUAAGCCCCAAUGGCAUGACACAGAACUCUAAAGCCAUAUCUGGUAAGAGAAGUGGUUUGAGGCUCGUCUCCCUGCUUCCGCAAUUCACACUUUCCUAUAUCAAUUCUAUAUAAGGUCGAAUGUGAAGAAAGAGGCUUUGGACAAUCGGUCGAAGAGAUCAGCCACCAAAGUGAGAGGAGACCCGAUUAUUCAUUCGAAUCUUGUUCUGUGCAUGAGAGUCCACACACAUGUGCUAAGAGCCAUCUUCCUUCUUUCUAGAGCUGCACAGGGCCGGUGCCUUGGAAGGCCUGCAUCUAGCAAGCAUUAUAGCACAACUGCUUCCGUCGAACAAGCGGAGAACAAGCAACUCCAUUGAGCCCCUAACGGAGUUUGUAAGUGGUAAAGAACAAGUACAGUUUUCGUCCAAGGAGCAGUCAUCGUAAGAUCCAACUCCACUUAUAAGUAGGUAGGUCAAGUCCGUAGGUAGGUCGAUAAUAUUAGGUAGGUCAAGUCCGUAGGUAGGUCGAUAAUAUUCUUUUCGUUUUUCUCUUUUGUUCGGUUCUCAACACAUAAGAGAGAUCAAAUCAGUAUCAACAUCUUCCACUAACAAAGAAAGGAUUUAUCCCAACUUGCUGUUGGUAGACAAAGAACUGCUAACCUACUUCAUUUCUAUCUAUCUAGUCAAUUCCUCCAGCCUACUAGAUCCCGAGCUAGUCAAUUCCUCCAGCCUACUAGAUCCCGAGAGUGAAUAGCAUAAUCAAUAAGGUUAUAUGAUUUAUCCGCAAGGGCGAAUCAAUGCAAUUAGACAGGAAGAAGGCUAGCUUGAAAACAGUAGCACUGGUAUAGGACUCAAAAGAAAGACCACUCUAUCUAGUAUAUAUUCUCGCCCACACAUAUCAAUGAAAUGAAUGGAACAGAGAAAGACGAGAGUGAAAGAGCGGGAUCACUAAUGAGUAUCUGGACAGACGCUCCUUGUGGGCCAAUUCUAUCUGUCUUUAUCAAACUAGCUAUGGAUCCGAUAGACAGAGGUAUUUAUAUAUUCUCCGAUAGACACAGAGGUAUUUAUAUAUGAAUAUAUACUUCCCCAUUAGUUUCAUUAAUACUUCCCCAUUUCUUAUUUCUCUAAUAAUGUCCAACUCUAUUCUGGCUUUUCCCUUCGUGAAUGACAUUGAGACUUGAUAAGAUAAAGAUCCAAGUGUCCGCGAAAAAUCAAGCAAGAUAGAUGGUAAGGUAAAAGAUAUAUGAAUCGAGAAAGGAUGUAUUGCAUGGUUAGGUAUAUCAUUUUCCACAAUGAGAUAUGGUAAUAGCUGAUCCACAUACAUUAUAGUAUGGAUGCCCAUGAUCAAAGAAGAAGGCAGGCGAAUCCGGUUCCGCUACUUGUGAUCAAAAGAAUGAACGUAUUAGAUCUUUCUAUGGGUCCAGUAAAGAAGGAAGAGAUAGGAAGGCAUCUUCUCUAGCCCCACACGUAGCGGUAAACUAAUCAGGUUCCAGUCCUCUAUCUAUCUUUCUUUGGUGCUCAUGGUAAGAAGGUGGAGCAUACAAUGAAUGGUCUUUCGUACCUGAAGUCGAUGCUACAUGCAAUAGUUGGCUUAAAGGGUUUCAAGUGUGGAUGCAAAGAAGGCUUUUGCAAGAUCGAAGAGAGCACCCAGACACCAUACUGUAGGUGGGGCAUUGAAAUGGUACAUAGGAACAGCUACCCGGAGUUGAUCUGAGUACCUUUGGCACCGAGGUUCGAAGGUGGAGUUCCCUCGCUUGCUGUGAGGAACAAGAUAAGAGAAGUGGGACAUUAGCACUUGAUCAUUAGCUCCUAGCAUGACAUGUACCGGUACAGGUUCGCCAUGCCAUAGGCCAGCCAGAAGGUUUCUCACUUUCAAUAGGGGAGAUGCAAGGUAGUGACUUCAUAGGAAGGAUGCAAGGUAAAGUAGUCCACUUCAUAUAGAGUUUCAGGAUCAAGUAGCAGGUCCGAUAGAGGAAAAAAGGUGGGAUGCUCUUCGCUCGUUCCAACCUACUUCCCCGAUGGGUCAAUUGCCAUUCUCUAUGUAAUACAAAUCCAUAGCCCUAUAAUUAUUCACCGCGGGCCUAGAUCCACUCAAUGCUUAGGUUUUCCCGGGGGUUAAGGGAGAAAGAAAAGAGAAACAAGCUAGAGUUUAGCUCGGCUCCAUAUCCAUCACUCGAUUCUAUUUCCAUUUAGGUGCUUGCACUGUUGUAAGAAUUUUCCAUAAUUGUCAUCGUUGCAUUUUGUACAUCUCAUUUCUUUUGGUUUGAGAAUUCCUGUCACUUUUUCCUUUACUUUAGAAUUAGACACUGUAAAUUGCCUUGUCUUGGAGAGAAGAGUUCAUAGCCUAUUGAAGUCUCGGCUUUUCCAUAAGCGGUAAUAAAAGAGAAACCAUAGAGAGGAGGUUUUAUAUCGACUUAUACUGUACUUACUUAUAGGAGGGCUUUACGAGACCAAGCAAUCUGACCAAAGGCGGAAUCACAAGAAUCGACAAAGAGCGGGUUUCUUAUAGACGCUUCGUGAUUGAUUUCCAUCCUCUUUGAUUUCUGUUCCGAUGGUAUAUCGACUCUGGGCUUUACCUCUUUGGGUUCUUCAUCUCGCAACGGGCUCCGACUACCGAAGCUAUUGGUGGUUAUGAAUAUAGAUCCGAACGAGGUGGUCUUAGUGAGACUCAAUCAACAGAAGCAUUACUGAUGUUCCUAGCGUUAUCCGUAAUAUGAGGUCCAUUGUAGUAGCGUUAUAUCUGUAAUACUCCAUUGUAGUAGCGUUAUCCGUAAUACUUUAGGGCUCGAUUGGACCCGAAACAACUCUCACUCGGUAAACUUUCACUGGGACGAUAUAUUGAUAUGAAACAAUCCAUUGAUGCUGCUCCCAGAACUUCCAUCCUACUCUAACUUCUGCAACCUUCAAACCUUCUACCCUUACUAUCGCUACAGGAAACUACUUUCUUUGACUUUUUCUCCUUCCUUUUGCUAUACUAGAGUUGACUACCUUUGAGAAAAACGAAUUGAGAAAUGCUACUCGAUCUAAAAAGUGGUUAAUAUGCUGGCUUUGGAUUGACUUCAAAUGAGGGUCUCUGGUCGAGGUGAUGGAUUAGAUACAACUUCCUUCACUGCUACCUAAAGUGAUGAGUCAACGUAAAUCAAUUCACUAGAUUGGCCAUCUUUUUCCUAUAGGGAGCUUGGCUUUCCACUAUUUCGCUCUGCCGAGCUUGAUAAGUUAGGUGUACAAUACCAGCCUAGUCUAAGUUAAGAGCCUAUGAGCUUUCUAUCUCCUUUUCUGACUCUGACUACCCGGGGCAGCUAGGAAGUACGAUGUUGACUACUAUACUUUAGCACCCAAAACUAUAAGCCUUAUCGGAACGCCCUGCCCUCACUUAUUUCAUUGACUCCAGCUAUCCACAUAUAUCAGAGAUGCAAAAUGGAGCAUUGCUUCCUGCUUCCAAAACGCAUAUCCAUCAUAGGCGCACUCCGCAACAACAAGAACUCACUUACGCGCGACGGCUUCUGCUAAUGCGCAAGAACGGAACGAAACAACAAGGAAAGCCCUUUAAGAAAACUAUGUACAACGCCUUAAAUGAACUACUACCAACGCACACCGGUAAUUUCAUCAUGGAAUUCGCUUCACCCUCUGCCUUACCUUUACCAGUAAACAAAUGAUUCAGUAUAUUCCCUUUCUUGUUGAAUUGAGUGUACCUAGCGUAUGAUAGAAUUUCGAAUAAAAGGCUUUCAGCACCUUGCUUGUAGAAUGAAAGAGAAAUAUGGGUCACAGUCGAAUUGAGUGCUCUCCCUUAAUAGAAGUACAGUAAACUCACCUCCCCUUGAAAACUCCGAUACUAACGCACCCCUUCAAUAGAGGAUUGACUCAUCCCUUGAAUAGAUGGAAGAAAAGAGUAUCAGCUGCCUUACCCUAUACAAAAGAGUAAGGAAUUAUUACAGUUAGCCCCUUGUUUGUUUGUUUACUUGCUUGCUAGUUUAUAGCGCUAUCCACAUCUCUGUCUGAUGAAAGUCACCUUACUGCUUUGCUUCAAAACUCACUUAUUACUUGUUGAACGAAUUAAGGCACUACACUUUCAUAAUGAAGCUGGGCACCCCGAAUUGCUUGUUUCAUUGGAAUAAGUCGCAUAUAAUGUAAGAGAUUCCAGAAUGUAGCUAUCAUAGCAUAGAAAAGGAGAAACUCUCACUUAUGACUUUGUAUGAUUAUUCAUUGAGUGUGCACCUUAUUAUAUAUGUAAUUGAUUAACAGAACUUGAAGACGAAGAAUACCUAGCUGACAUCGAGGUGCCAAACCCUUAUCAAUCUCCGGGUUGGUACAGGUGUCUGAGGGCAAGGGAAGGUUAGACGGUCAGACCCCAUUUUCUUUCCGGCUAACAAAAGAUCCGAAAGAGCGGGCACUCUCGCCUCGUAGGGAGGAAAUCAUUCUCCUACAAUCAAUCACCUAUAACUAACACCAGCUUGACCUUUGCCCCGCCAGUCAUCAAUUGGAAGCGCGCAAUGUGUAGUAGUAGGAGUCGUCUGAGUAGGAGGAAUAGUCGGAGUGGUAGGAGUCGUCGGUUCGUCUAUUCAAAGCAAGACGGGAGGAUCUCUCUCAAUAAAGGAAUUAGUGGAUGGAUUUCAUACCAAUGCAGGAAUUGGAUCAACAUUGAAUUGGUUUAGAGGGACCCUCAUAUCCAAAUAAUACAUAAUUGAUUAUAGGAACCCUUUCCCUAUAUACGUAAAGGCAGCCCAAUAUACUGUUAAAGAUGAGCACUUAACCAAUAUACUGUUAAAGAUGAGCACUUAUUAACUAAGAUACAGUUUCAGAUGCAGAUACAGUGAAAGAGAAGCAAGCACUAUAAGUAUACAAUACGAUGGAUUCACUUCACCCUUAACUAAAGCCAGGGCACGGCACCCUUAUCUAUGAUUCUUUUCCAAGCGGAGUUCAAUCUCUUUUGAAUAUUAAUAAGGAACACUUAUUCCAUAAUAAAGUCCAUUCAUUCACUCUAAACUAUCAUUGAAAGAGCAGUGCUCACAUUAUCUAAAUUAGAGAAUCCAAUUGGGUAACAACCUUAUAACUCAACAACUUACGUUAGCACAAACUAGCAACAAACUAAUACUAAUGCUUGCUAACGUGCAACUCAGACAAUUCACUACAGCGUAACAAACAAGCAAGGUUUCUGGUUUCUGAUGAUACUUUAUGCUUUUUUGAUUUGAGUCACUUUUUCUUUAUAAGUAAGUAACAAACAAUACAGCUUUCUCUUCUUCUGCCUGACCGACCCAACCUACGUAAUCUUCAUCUUUCCGGCCGGGAGAUAGCGGAAUUCAAGGUUAGCUGAACUUUCCAAUCGGACAAGGCUUUCGUGCUAGUAGGAGUCAGAUGCCCCUUAUUAUUGAGGUCUCCGGUGGACGUUCCCUUAGUUCCGCUCGCCGCUACUUUCUUUAGUCAAGCUGUGCAACUCGUGCUUUUGAUUCUUUAGUCAAGCUGUGCAACUCGUGCUUUUGAUAGGAAGUUGUUCUUCUGUGAAACUCUUACUUUUGUUGAUAGGAAGUUCCUCUUCUAAAGAUAUUCCUCUUGUGGUUAUGAUUUCAAAUACAUAUCAUACCUUCCUUCUAUAGGGUUCAGACUACCAGCCAAUGAUGGACCUGGGCCUACUACUGCCCAUUCUCAAAUGAAGUAUCAAAUCCAGUUACAAAAGUCAAACUACUUGUCUUCCCCCCCAAAGAGCAGUGGAAAUCAACCAAUGGGAAGCAGCAUACACUUAUGAGCAUGGUCCGCUCGUCUAAGGUUUCGAGACAAGAGUGGAGGAGACGUUUUCAAGUGUGCAUGUGCCAAUUUCGGGUUUGGUAAUGCUAAUAGCCGUUGUUGAUGAACCUCUUUCAAAGCCUCUUACUCUAUUCCAGUUAAUAAUCAUUCUUUCAGAUCUUUUCAUAAGCUUGGCAGAUAAGAGUCAUUGGGAAUAAUAUUCUAACCCUAGAAGCGAAAAGCUGUAAAGGCAGUCCUUCUUGUUUAGUUUGAUCAGGUCUUUCUUUGUCUUUGGCAAAGUUUAUAAAAGAGAGCCAAAUCGGAAUAGGACAGAAUUCAAGUGAAUCUUGCAAGGGCAAUCAUAGUUGUUAAAGCUAAUCUUGCAGGACAAUCAUAGUUGUUAAAGCUAAUCUUGCAAGGACAAUCAUAGUUGCCUGGGUGGGGGACUAGACUCAAAGCUCGGUUCCGACCAUUCCCGCUAAAGAAAAGCCAUUGCUGACGAAAACGAAAAGGGUAGGCGGUUGGACCUAGGACAUGUGUGGCAUAGCACAUUCGAGAAGGGCAAAGGGCUUUCUUACCAUUUGAAGCAAGUGCCUAAAGAGAUGGAUGAAAGUGACACUAUUGCUACUAUACCUCUUAUCAAAGAACUAACAUAUGCCCGAUGGAAUUGAGCUUCUGCUGUCCCUCCUCUACUCAUUUGAAUGAAAAGGGAUAAGCGCAUAGUAACCUGACUGAAACAAACUAUAGCAGAAUACUCAAUAGCAUUGGAAAAAGGGAUGACAGACGCUCUAUUUUAGUAAGAGUACAAGAAUGGAUACUUUCCACUCGGGACAGCACUAAAACUGUUGUACCUGAUUCUUUAUCAUGUCCCCUCGAUGACAAAAACUUGACUUGCUAGUUAGGGAGCGGCAAUGGCGUAACCCCAACUUACCUCAGAAUCGCUUGUGUGAUCUUGUUGGAGUAAGUGAGAGAGUUCAGUUACUUAUUUACUUGGUGCACUCAAUUCGUUUCUUGGUCAAAUGUCAAAAGGAGACCCCUCUUCCGGACCACGAUUGGAGAUUCCGUCCAGGCAUUGCACCUGCUCAACAUUAGGUGAAAGAAUGCCUUGCUGCAGAUUGAGUUGGCGCAGAAAGAAUAGGAUCAUAUAUCUUCUUCUACAAACUGAUUAUAGAAGGGUAGUAACUAAACUCCGAAACAACAAUAAGAUAAGUAUUAGCGCUUACGCUUAGUAUUGUUCGGGCUGCCUCUCUAUACGUUUUGAUUCUUUCCUUAGCGCUCUGGGGGGUGAAAUCCAUGCCAUGCCUUUAUUGAUACUUUCUUUCCUUCCCUGUACAAACAAGCGAAAGCGCCCGCAUCUUGACUAUAGGGCUAAUUGUGAAAGCACAGAUCAUGUUGGGCAGACCAAAUCCAAUUCCGGAAUCUAGUGAAUGUCGGUACCUAAAACAAGGAUAAAGAGAAGAUAAGAUAAGAUGGGCACCAUGAUCAAACUAGGAGAAAGAUAAGAUGGGCACCAUGAUCGACCUCUAUGGGAAGUUUCCUUAAGCCACUCCCCUCUUUCCCUGAAACCUUACCAAUGUGCCUCAUAGAAGAACCCUAACAGAUUACUCUCAAGAAUAUCAUAGAACUACCUUUACCUAAAGAAAAUCCAUAAUGUUGGCACCCCAAUACACAAACUGAUUGACCGGAAACCAAUUACGGCAAGUUGUGGGCAAGCCUAUAUACGUUUUCUUUAUUAUUGACCCGCACCCCAUACUAAACCAUCAUAAAGAGGCACUCAAUACUAUGGACUAAGAAAGGAAUGAUAUUUGUUAACUAAGCAGUAAUGAAAAGCCGGAGAUUUGGAAGUCUCAAAGACAAGGGCACCUGAGUAAGCUCUCUAAACAGUUUAGUUACUAUCCAAAUUGGAAUUAAUAGGAGAAAGGGAUAUUCAAAGGAACAAGAGCAAGCAACGAAAUAAUCCAGAAUAGAAUGAAAUGGAAUCUAGCACAAUAUAUAUGAUAGUAAAAACACAGCACUGCAACACACACUACUAAUCUAUCGCACAACGGCAAACAAACAUUAGCAUAAGGGCGAAGUAGAAACUGUAAUUACGGUUAACUUAUCUAACUGGGCCUCUGUCCUAAUGCCUAUGCCUCUGUUCUGAAUGUCAUUUGUGUAUUGGAUACCUAAGAAACUAACUGUUGACCUUUUUCUUUUCUUAUGAAUUUAGUGCAAAAGAAUAGAAGAAAGCGUUCAUCAUAUAUAUAGAGAAUAGAAGAAAGCGUUCAUCAUAUAGAGAAGAUAAUCAAGCGUUUUCAUCAUAUAGAGAAGGAUAAGAAAGCGUUUUCAUCAUAUAGAAUUUAGUGAACAAACUGCGCGGACUCCUCCAAAGCUUCACGCGAACUCAAUAAGCUGCCCCGCUCGAAUAAGCGUUAGCACCCCAGCAAGCACAAUAAGCCUAACACACAAGCAAACUAAGUUAGCGGAACUUCACUCCUAACUCUAAACUCACUGUUUACUCAACUGCUUCCUGCUUUUAUUCAAGUAAGGCGCACAACAUCUUUUUUCAUUGAACUAGUAGCUUUCAGUAAUUCCGUUUGCUCUUUCUCUCUUUCUUGCUGCUCCUUGAUUCCCUCUUAUUGUUCUUUCCCUUUUGACUUGGGCUUACUGGCAUCUGAUUCUCUAUACUUCCACCUAUUUACUCUAUACUUCCACCUAUUUACUCUAUACUUAACCCUACUAUUUCUAAAUAAGCAAACUGUCCGCAGCAUCCAUGGCAGAGGGCAAAUCCUUCCACCCUGCCUCCUUAGUUCCGUGCCAAUGAUUGUAGACCAGACGUUCAAUUGAAGAGCUGCUUGUCCUACUCGGGCAUAUUAUGGAUUUCAAGCAUUCAGGAACGGAAUUCUUUCACAUAUUCCCUAACCAUGCCAGUAUGCUUCAAUUUCUUGAGUUAGUCUCUUACAUACAUGCUUUCUUGCAAGGAAGGAACUUCUCCUUCUAUUCUUUCUUCAUAACUUCCCCCAUCUUUCAAUCUUAGGACGGACAGCAUAAGCAUCAUCCUCUAUAUCCGUCUUCUCCACCAGAGUUUGGCAUCCCCAGUGAGAGAUAUAUUGAUUGGAUUGUGACCUUUUCUCCCUCUGGAACACGAGCAUGAAGUACUCCCCCAUAUCCAAAAGGUUUAUCCAAGUGCUUGACAUACCGAGUGCCACUUAACGAUUUCGGGUCUGGGACAGCUGAAUCGAUAGCCUCUCCUCAAUCUCCCUCCUAUCUACCACCAAUAACCCUCCUAUCUACCACCAAUAAUAGAAUGAGACUUGUCUUCUUCCCAGGAUAUGCUAUCCGCGAUACCUUCUUUCGUCGAAACUAACAUCUGCUUAGACUUCGUAUCUAGAAAAGAAAGGGCUCUCGCGAUCAAGGACUUUUCGCUCCUUGGUUCAACGCUAAGUCGACUGAUGAUCAGGAAGUCUAUAGGGGCUGAAUCCUAUUAUCUUAUUUCGCGACUAUACCCCUAGGACAAAUAGCCUUCUUUAGUUUGUCUAAUUAGAGCGGUCAAGUCCGUCCGUCCCGGUUGGUUGGUUCGGUUGAGUUCUGACUCUUUCAUGGCGACAAUCCGUUUCAUCUCUCUAGUAAUCGACCAACGCAGAAUAAUAACCUUAAAGGAAACACCUAUGAAACCGAUCACUGGAAUACCUGUAACAGUACCAAUCAGCCAAGGAAGAAUCUUUCUAGUAGUCUCGGCCAUUUCCCCUACUUUCUUCCACAUUUGGUUCAUUCGGGUUUGAUUGUGUCAUAACUGCUAUAUAAUGAUCAAUUAGGUUUAUAGUUGGAUGAACAGCAUUGGUUAUAUUGACCCCAAUAAAGAAACGGUAGGUACAGCUAGUCCGUGAACAGUAAACCAUAGCACUGUUCCAAAUGGGAUAGAUUCCAUUUAUGGUUAUUGGGGACCGUAUUCCUUAUAUGUAUAUGAAUUCAAAAAGGAGAAAUGAAUCGAGUUGUUCCAAAGAAUCAGCCCGGUUAUCAAUGGAAUACCUUGUCGGCUAUCUGUUAAAUACUCUUUGGCCGAGGACUUCCAAACACGUCGUAAGCUAAAACCAAUACAGACGAAUAACCAACCCGCAAUGAAUAGGUAUGGAAGGUAUUCUCAUAUAUAGGUAUGGAAGGUAUUCUCAUAUAGAUCCGCAAUGAAUAGGUAUGGAAGGGUAUUCUCAUAUAUAGGUAUGGAAGGCCUCUAAUAUGGAUGAAUGACCCAGUAUCAAUACAGUUUCUAAUAUCAGCAAUAGAAUGUUAUCUCGUGCUUCCAGACAUUCUGAGCUCCACUUCAUUAUUGUACAUUCAAAAAGGGAAUCGAUUCCUUGAAAGAUGGGAUCAGUAAAUAGAGAACUACGGAUAUUGCAUCUUUGUGAGAUCGUCAAUUUAGUAUAGAAGGGUGUUUUAUUUAAAGUAUACCGAAUCAGUAUAGCUAUCCUUCCUCUGGCACAGCAACGCAGUCUCGAUCGGUACCGAAAUGCUACUACAUUCCUUUGUUGUUCCUUGUCUAUGCACAUAACUCUAUGUUAUUCAAUGGAUCAAUAGAAAAUGACUCCAAUUCAAUCUCAAGAGCCUUUGACUUUUCUUUUAGGAAAGAGAGCAAUCUCAUAAUCCUUAUUAAUAGCGAGGGAAAUCCUUAUUAAUAGCGAGGGAAGUCCUUAUUAAUAGCGAGGGAAGGUCGGUCAAUAAUAUAGGUAGUUUUGGGCUGUUCCAUUCUUUUGAUUUCAUGUUAUGGGUUGGUCUACGAAUUCCAUUAUUAGAUACUAGCCUUAAGACUAAGGACCCUGAAUGAGUAUAUACUUGUUUCAUAAAGGAAGCAGUAACCCAGUUUGCCAUAUUCGUGAUGCAACCGUUAUUGUAUUAGAUCCAAAACAAAGGUUCUUUCUUGACCGAACUAUAAGUAUGGAACUCUAUUAUAUGGAAAGACAGAAUAUGGAAUUUAGCGAAGUAGAAAGUAUCGUUUUGAAACCAACCUGUUGACUUUUUCUUGAAUGAAUUACGCCGUCCCUACGGUUCCUCUCCCUCCUACCCUUUGAAGAAUCGUUCAACUCAUUAUCAAUUUAUGGAAUCUAUAGUGUUCUGUAUCGAAAGCACACUCGCUGGUAGUUCUCAAUGUUUAUCCGAACAUAACAGUUUUCAGAGUAUAGGCGAAACUCCGCUUCCGGGAGUAUAGUCUCCCCAGAAAUAAGAAUGAGUGAAAUGCCAAGCACUUUGCAAAGAAGCAUGCGAUCAACUAUCUGCGUACGAAUUAUGACCCUUCGGGAGAUUUUUCAUCUGGCUUGCAUGAGAGGGAGGAAAUCGGUUUGGUAUCAAAACAAACACACUUUCCUAUUAUUGGAUACUUGAUAAGCUCUCUCAAUCUUGGGAAUCUAUCUCAAUGCAGUUCAACAUCAAUUCUUUCUCACCCGCCUCGCGUAAGCACAAUGCCUUUCGCCCUUUGUUUGUUGCUUCUGGAACUACACUCGUAUUCAGCAGAUCCUUAAUCUUGGGUCAGGAAUUGCUUCUCAAUAGGGAACCCACGUGAUGGUCUGGUAUCUCCCAAUCCGCUUCCCGGUUGCCCAGGUUCGUCAAAAGGGAAAAGUCGCUUGGGACAGUAAGUGUCUUAGGGCCCAAAUGAAGAAUGCAUUGAUCCAGGGCAGGGGGCGCCUCCCGAAAUAAUCAACUGACUCUUCAAUCAAGUCGCUAAAGAUUCUCUAUCUUCCUGCUUUUCAAGACCCGAUAGGUCAAAUCAAAAGCACAAUGGGAAGUGCGAUAUAGCCUUGCUUAUGCUUUUCAAGACCCGAUAAGUAGAAUCAAGAGCACAAUGGGAAGUGUGAUAUAGCCUUGGAAACAAAUGGUACCACGGAGAGAGAUGUCAGAUUCCAUUCCAUAUGUGAUUGAUGUCGUAUUGAUGAGGCAGAGUUGAGCUAGUGAACAAGUCGUUGGCGUUGUGCUUACUUUGUUUCGGGGCUACCCUAGCGCUUGCUUCUUUUUGAUUAAAGUCAAAACACACACACUUCCGUUUAUUAUGCUUUGUGCUCUACUUUAGCAGUUUAUGAAUAAGGUAAUCUCGCGUCUAGAGCUAGGUGUGCAUAGCAUAUAAUAGCAGUCUGGGACCCUAAUCUCAGUGAUAUUGUAUUUACUCUUUCAUUAUUUACCGUGGGAGGUAUAAAGCCGCUCCUAUUUCUUGUGCAAAACUAGGGAAUACGUCCUAAAAACCAGCUAAGGAACUACCGAGCAGAAGCACUUAAGCCCUGACUUACAAAGAGUUAUCCAGAGGAGGAGACGCAGGAGCAGUUUCUUUAAAUCCAGUCAUUUCAGUUGAAUAUCCCGCUUCGCCAUAAGAAGAAGUUCAUGCUCUAUUGCAAAGUACUAAUUUUCAAAAAAGAAAGAAAUUGAUAGAAUUUCAAACUUAACGCUCCGAAUGAUUGAUGGUUCACUCAAUACACCCUCUCCUCUGUUAACUGACCGGCACUGAAAGCAAUGGCACUGAAAGCAAUAGUAAUUGAGCUCAAAGGCGCCGAUGCAAGUAAAAGAGGUCUGGUCAGGGAGAAUCAAUGGAAUAAACAGAGCUUUCUUAAGGUUUCUCAAGACUAUGUUUGAUGGUUUCUCAAGACUAUGUUAGGUGGGAAGUAGGAAGAAUUAGGUUUUCUCGUUGUUUAACAACUGUUAACUAAUCAAAUAGUUAAUUACUUAUUAAAGACCCCAUCAAACUUGAGCUAUUUAAACGUUAGGUAAGGGUCCUAUCCUUUUCUAGGAGUUCCUUACUUCUUUGACUUUUCUUUCAAUGGGUGAAUCAAUUCGGUCGACAUUUCGGACACAGUAAACACUUAGAGGAGCUAUGCGGGAAUCUCUCUUGCAAAGGUCGGGAAGUGAGUUUUGAAGCAUUAGUAAGGGGGAAGGAUCCCUUUCCUUUCUCAGGGCACUCUAAUAGAAGCCUGCGUGGUUCAACUCCUUAGUUUGGGACAUCUGCACAUAUGGGAUCGUGCCUCUGGGCUGCGCUGCGCACGAGAGGAUUCCUGCUAGUAUGUUCGUGUUCGUGCCUAGCGCCCGAGUUUCAAUGCUAAAUAAGAACAUACUUUUUGCUUCCUGCUCGUCUGAUUGUAAAGAGUGGUCACCUAACACGCGGUCGGCACGCGUUACUCUUUCGGGUGGAAGGAAUUUCAUCGUAUACCAAGAUUUCUUCAAGAUAAACUAUUAUUGAAAUAAGGAUUUCUUCACGUAAUCCAUCCAUAAACCCCCGGUUACCUUCGUCACCGUCACGACUCUUUCCAAAGGUUACCCGUCAUCUCAUCUCCAGUGGACUUCAAUCGCGAAUUCUCAGGUGGAAUCAUUUUAGGAAGGGCAAAUGAGACUGGCCUGAUCCUUUGAGUCCCUGGGGCUUUGACUUCUAAACGUCUUCGUUCGUGGUGCAUUCUUUCAGUCCCGAAAAAGGGGUUAGCCCUCCUGGAAUCCUUCUCCUUCUAUCUCUCUCUAAAGUUGAAACCCUAGCAUCUGACUCCGCGGUUACCUUGAUCCUCAAAGUAGUAACCAUCCUUUCUUACAAAAAAAGGUGCAAUUGUGGAAUCCCGAAGAUGCAAUUGUGGAAUCCCGAAGAAAGAAGAACUCCUUAUCGGGGGUUUGCUAAAGAUUUCUAUCAAAGUGGGGGCUAGGCUAACUCCUCGAGUGACAAACGAUUGCUUUAGCUUUCUUGGUUGACUAUUCCAGAGUACUUUCGGUGCCUGCUAACGUCCAAAUAGCAAAAUCACUCCACUUCCGACUUUUCCUUAGCCUUACUUAGGAGUCUCAAAUAACAGGCAUUACAUUAGAACAUUCGUUCCUAGUUUUUGAAUGGAAUAGUUUGAUCAAAUCUCCAAGAAUCAAAAGUAUAACUCGCUCGAAUGUGAUUCAAUUAGAAUUCUUAUAUCCCACUGACUUCCCCACCCAACUAACUCCCUUUGCUUUCAUUCCCUGGGCCAAGCAACUACGUGACUUCUCAAUCUCAUUUACCACUUCGUCUUGUGUUUCACUGGCUUUGAAGAAUCAUAAAGAUCCGGAUCUACUGCUGGGCGAGAGGGUAAACUUCACUAUGUCUUUACUCACUUCUAUAUUUGGUGCUUUAAACACAUUAUGGAAAUAUUCUUUGUGAAAUAUUCUUUGAUUUGACUUGUGUAUUAGCUGGAAUAGAGUCCUUGAAAGGAAACACUCUAACCUGCGAGCGGCGAGCUGGACAAUAAGACCUUUUCGCGUCUAUAUGCCUUUGUUCAACUCAACGUAGCUUAUGUCAUAUCUCCACAUUUAGACUCUGCUAUCGGCCCUGAUAAUUCACAUUUGAGCCUAGAAAGAUGGAUCACAUUCUAUUCCCCUGUUGUUUACCCUUACUUAAACAACGAUAAUGGGAAUUGAGCUGAGCAAGAAAAGAUUUCACUGACGCCACGUUAGCUUGUUAACUUGUUCUCGCUCGUGAAAACAAAAGAGACUCCACUGAAAUACUUAGCGCACCGGAAGUUAGGGCAAAUAAGGAUUGAACGCCAGAUAUAGAGAGUAGUUAACCAGAUUGAGAGUCCUUUCGGACCCGCUUCCUUCCUUAUUACUCUGAUUCUAUAUACGAUAACACUAGAACAAGCUAAUACUGGAAUUGCCGCCAAUAACGGAUCUAGCAGAGAAUGCCCGAACUCAUUCAAUAAGAAAGAUGUUUCUUGCGUUGCCCGAGCUCACUAGAGAACCCUAGCUAUAGUAAUUAUGAUAUAUUCUUAGACUUACGUAUCGGGUAACUGCACAUACUCCUUGUUCUUGCGAACGGCUUGUUUAAUUGCUGAACUAACUCCUAAGCGCUUAAUUCUACUAAGCUUAUUCUCUUGCACAUUGUAUAGAAAGAGUAAUCGAACUGCUUAAGUAGCAUAGUAUAGUAUAGAAUAAUAUAUGAAACAAAUAGUCAAGAAGAAGAUAUUAAGCAAACGGCUAUUACUUGAAAAUAAAGUGAGCCCACCUCCCUUGCUUUUAAAAGAAUGGAAAUUAGUGAACUUAGGAGCAGCGCAAACAAGCAAUGGCGCUAUUGUGUUUGGGUGCAACUUACUAUUAGUUUCCAGAACAAGUCCAUUAUUUUAGGCAAAGAUGCAUUUAUAGGACAUAGGCAUUAGGCACCCGCUUAAAGUCACCCCAAGUCUUGUGUUUUAGCUAAAGUGAAGUUAAUUGCGUGCGCGUUACGUUAUAAGAGUUAUCGUCGUUGAACAGAGGUUGACUACCCGUCAUAGCUCAUUCCAUUUCAGACCCGCUGAGGCUACUAACGCCGAGAUGUCGCAAAAGGUCUAAAUUCUCUUCUUAAAGCAAAGGUGCUGAAAGCCUGUUUGUUUACUCAAUCAUAAUCAUAUUAUAUUAAUUGUAUAUGCGAGAUAUCUUCUUUCAUUCAAGGUAGCGGAAAAGGCCCAGACUUCUUGUUAAUGGUUGCGAGAGCAGUUAAGUAGAAAGUGGAAUAGCCUGUUUAUUAUAUUAGAAGUCAUAAUGUGCUCUCUAUUGUAGAUGUAGAGGGUGCGCCUGCCUAUUUGUUCUUAAAGGAAGCAAUGUAGUGAAGAAGCAUCAAACUUAAAGGAAGCAAUGUAGUGAAGAAGCAUAAAAAGCAAUGGCAACAUCGCGUGUUAGAGAGUCCGUCCCAAGGUAUAAAUGCUCUUAUUCUUCACAGUUCAGUGAGUUGACGUUCUUCUAUCAUAUGAGGUGCAUACGAGUCAUUAUUAUCCGCCCGAUACAACUACGCAUACCAUACCAUACCUUCUUACCGACCUUUUAUUACACUUUGGUACCCGCUCGCUUUCGGCAGUGAGUAAGGGCAGUGAACAAACAACGGAACCUGUGCACUCCAUUCUCUUCUGCAGUCCGGUUACUUAAUUAUAGGAAUUGCAAGCUAUAUUCAUUUCUUCAAUUCGAACUUUUGAGUGGUACAAAGAGAGUUCCAUUCCCAUUUGACUUUACUCUGACUGAGCACUAUAAUCAAUGGUUCAGUUCAUUCUUUUGCUUGUGCGCUAGGAGCUCUUGUUGAGUUUGCCAAUCUUCUCAUUCUCUUCUCAAUAAUACAGGCUACGAAACGAGAAACGAGACUGGAACCUCUGUGGGGCCUGUCACUAGCUACCUAUGCGAAUUCACGUGAGCACUACUUGUUGCUUCCUUUCCUUACAAGCUCAUAUCGGCAAAGAAGAGGAACUCUACUCGUAACACAGCUUUGCUUCAGGCUUACAGCCCGGGGGGCGCCAAAAGAGAAGUAGUAACCUAACACUCCACUCGCUCAUGCACCUCUUAUGUCCAAAAGUAAUCUCACUGAAAACUCACUACUAUACAAAUGGCACAAGUCAAAGAACUGGCAAACAGGAAUAUUUCUUUCGAGCUAAAUAAGUGUAUAGGAAUCUUACCAAAAUCUAUACCCUCACGUGUUUUGUUCUCUUGAAAAAGACGGGUUGAGGCCUUGUUCCUCGAAAGCGAACUUUGCACUGAGACUUGAUACUCCAUAUAGAAGUACUUCUGACCUUUCACCUUGAUUAUUGCCUUCUCAACUAACACCCGAACUAUCCUUUCAAACGAGGAAAACUGUACUUCCGGGCAGCUACCUAUCGCCGACAAGAGGACUCGUUUUUUGUUCCUAACUCUCCCCUUGAAGACUUCCGGGCAGCUACCUAUCGCCGACAAGAGGACUCGUUUGUUGCUCCUAACUCUCCCCUGGAAGACUCCCAAUCAAUAACCUCUCUUUACGACUUCCCACUUGCAGGAUACCCUGAUCUGCGCACAGCUUUCUAUUCUACUCUGAUUAUCGAGUCUCCUUUCCUGGGCACUCACAGAAAUAUCAUAGUAAUCAGUAUACCUUGCUUCAAAACAAAAGUACAGGCAAAGAAGCGAGGUGUCGUCCAAGUGGCGUCAGGAGUUUUCAAAAGAAAAGAAUCAAAUCUUCACUGACUUCAGGAGAAUCUAUUAUACAACACUAAACACUGUAUUGCUUGAUUUCUUUCUUGCGCAGAGCUCUCAUUGCAUCUAAUAACCCAAACUCCAGACUGCUUGUUCUUUUCUUUCGCCCUUUUUUGAUACCUGAGACUAGAGACCCCCUUACCUUGCAUGUUCCGUUAGUGCAAGUCGCCAAGUAACUACGCCAAGCUACUACGUGAGGCUCUGAUUCUCUUUUGGACUGUACCCUCAUUUAGUAGAUUAGUGUUCGAAAUAGCAUUUCGCCCUAAUAACACCUUCUUAUUAUAUGGGAUAGGAUAACACCUUCUGAUUAUAGGAGAUAGGAGAUCCUGAUGUCAAUUUCGGGGUAGCAUGUAAUAUUGAUGAACGUGUCAUUUCAAACAACAAAGGGGGAAUACAGCUGCUAAAAAGAGGAAAUCAAGACUUAGAAAGAUGGAAGAAUCAAAGCAUAAUAACCUACUUUGUGAAGUUGACUGCGAAGGUGCUAAUUAUACGCCCAAAAAGGUUGAGUGAAAUACAAAUAAAUGAGAUUAAGGCAACCAAUCUGUUCCCGUGUUAUCGAUUAGAGGCUAAUCCAGAAAGAAAGGAUUUAUAUCAGUUGAAAAAGAGGUGUUAUCGCCCGCUGCCUAGGUUUGAUUUCUUGAGAUUGUAUGCGACAAUAAUGCAUAGAGCGAAAGCAAGCGUUAAAGAGGAAAUCCGCUAUGUUGAACCUUGCCCUAGCUUGUUUAUUCGCCGCGAAGCUGACUAUUUGAGUAAAAACAAACGGGCACUUCCCAUAGAGACUCUUACCAUUUGAAUAGAACUCCCAUAAUAAGCAAGGGAUCCACGGAAGGAUGCGGGAUUAGCAAUAACUCUGACCAAAGGGAAUUGGAUCUCUUUACUCUUUCCCUAAAACCUAAAUGAGGAGGAUUCCACAGCUGGCCCCGCUCUAUAGAAAGCAAGGGAAAGCCCAGUAACACACUUGAGAAUCUAGUAAAACACUUGAGAAUAGUUUAUAUAGGCAAGCUAAUACUCAAAAAGCGGGAACCCGGAACAAAAACAGGACUGGCUCUUGAUACUGCUACAGCUUCGGCUUACUCACCAGCUCUUGAAACGACUUCUUUAUAAGAAAAAGAGGCAGCUGGGCUCGGUUCCAAAGAGUUAACCUGUGUUCGGCGGUAGCGAGUUAAUAGCUUAAGUGUUUUCUUUCCUUAAUUUGAUUCCAACUUCACUGACUUUAUAUCAGUCCAUACAUGACCUAUAUUGGUAUGAUAAUACGAUGCACUUAACUAAUACUAUUGUAAUGAAGCAUGGGCUACUAUAUGAAACUAUCGGAAUGAAAUCAAUACUUAUAAUAAUUAACGAUCGGACACCAAGCCUUGCUCGCCGGGUAGUAAACCUUACUUGUAACCCCAACUCUCACUCUCUCCCCACUAGAUUAAGCUAUGCAGUUCACCUACGAGUCUCGUGCUCUUGUUUUUCAUUUGGUGGUUGUCCCUUUCAUCCCCGGAGUUUAGGUUUUCGUCUUAUACUCGUUACUUGCAUUCUCCAUCCCGAGUUAUCUGUCUUGUCAACCGACCCAGCUAAGUUUCCAUCAAAUAAUUAAUUGAACUUGUAAGUCCACGCCCUACUUGUGUUCACUUCAAACUAACACAUACCUCUGCUUUCUCUAAGCCCCGCUUGUUAGUGUCCAACAGGUAACUACUAAUAUUGGAAUGUCACCUAUCCCCCACAAUAGCAGACUCCACUUGCUAUACAAUAGAUUGAACUGCCGUUACUCGAUCUCAUUAUGUCGAUCCUGUCUCUCGUUCUCCAAACACUGCUAACAGGGCUCUACAGCUCGGAACCCAGGCUCUCACUUAUUGAUUUUACCAACCAGAGGUAUUCCUACUAUUUACCCGGAAUACGAACCUUGCUCUACCAGCGAUAACUCUUACUGCCCUUUUUCUCAUUCCUUUACUAAUUACUUCGAAGCUGUCUUUACUUUCUUUGACUCUUUAACUAAUGAUGGAGCUUUGACUCUUUUACUAAUGAUAGGGAGGCUUACUAUUCCUAUUUGCGUUCUGUAUUUACUUGCUUAUAUUCUGACAGUAUAUACAAUGGGCGCUGCCCCUACUACUUCAAAUACCAAAUCUAAGGUCUUGCUUUAUUCGCUUUGAAACUAUAUCUCCUCGCCUUAACUCUUUAACAGUAAUGCCUAUAAGCCUGUCUCUACUGUUUUUCAUUCGACUUAUUACUAGACCAGAGUUCGACUCACCAAGACACGGGUGUCGCGGUAGCGAGUUAACACCCCUAGCUCCUAUUCUCACUACACUGUCUUUGAUUCUAAGACCGCUGAUCCGGAUCCUGUCACUGUACCUUGGCUUCAAAGCAACCCUUCCUUUGUUUAAGUCCGAUUCCUCUACUUUCAGAAGAUACUAUAAUAAGAACGAACUAGUGGGGAGCGUAUCAAACUCGUGCUUCUAAGACCUGACCUUAACCUACAAAAAGGGAAUGACACUGCAAACUACCAGACCUGCCAUUACUGAACCCAACCCUUACAUGUUGGCACAGGGCUCCUUACUUCUUUCACUUGACUUGCUCAUAACUCGCCGCGCAACUACUGACGCUCCUAACUCCUAUUCUUACUAAAAAAUGGAUCAGUCUGUAGCUACUGAUACAGAUCCGGAUCCUUUCUCUUCUAAUAAGGAACUCAAUCAGCAAAAGCAAGACCGAAACAAUUAUUUCGAAUAUGAUAACUGGAACCCGGGAAUGAAACACAAAACUAAGAACUAAUCUACCAAUACACGAAUAUGGCUCCUAUAGAGUAAGAAUAGAAAUCCAGACUUGAACUCAACUCCUAAAGUCACAGGCAGGCUUCAACUUACAACUGGGGGAUCGAACUCAUUAGAUUAGUAUGGGAAUGGGGGUGCCACUACUGAAUGGAACUAAGUAGUAUGAGAUCUGUAGUAUAAGAUUGGAACUCCUUCCUUGCCACCCUUGCUUGUUAGGUUUAGUCUUAUAGUUGACUCUUGCAUUCCUCCCUUCCUGUCUUCAAUGCCUAGUUGAUAGUUUUGUUCUGACUUCUGUGGUUAAUGCCCUCCGCUUAGAGCCUUAGGUCUGCUACUCAAACACAACAGCCUAUGAGUCUUACUAUUCUGACUUUGACACUUAUACUAAAAGGUUUGAACUCAACAGACAGAAGAAAACUCAGCAGUAGUAGAAUCAAACAAGGAAAUAAAAGGCUUAAGAGUUCAUCUCAGAAAAAAGGAUUCACUCCGGCAUACCUAGCAACAAAACUCGAAACACAGGAUUGAACUAAUAAAUAGCGGAAUAAAACCUACUCUAGGCUAAUUGGUGCCCCUCUGGACUUAUACUAGGAACUCAGGCUUACCUUACCGUCCUCAAAGCCUGUAGCUAAUACCUGACACUGGGGAUUCGGCUAGUUGGCACCCAACCCAUACCUAUAAUUAUGAAAAAAGACCUCACCUACUCUGGCUACUUUCAUUCUGAUAUGCACCUGUUAGCCUGCCCCUAUUUCUAUUAUUUUGUACUUCUGGGCAAAUUGGUACCCUGACUUUAUGGUGGAAUUCUGGUUUCUGAGUUUUCAUCUUCUUAUUCCUAUUCUUUACUCGACUUCUUAUUCUUAUAACUACUGUUUGGAUUCUCUUUCUCUUCUUUCAUUCUCUUGUUUCUACUGUGAUCCUAUACUGAUUAUUCUUAUUAUUGGAUUUCAUAACUACUUACUGCCUUCCAUAACGAAAUUGAUUGUUCUCAGUCUCAACUCCCUGCCCUAAGCUCUCAGCUCGGAAUGGCUUAUAAGACUUCAACGAUAGGACCUGGAAGAAAACAACUACUUACUGUCCUUGCCCAAACUACUACUGACUUUCCUUGCCCUCAAGCUAACUCUCUUUCCGAACUCUUCUACCCGGAAUUACUUACCUUAUCUCUAUCUCUAUCCGGAAUUACUUACCUUAUUCUCUAUCUCUUACUGGGGGGCGAGGGCUUGUCUCCGCUCUGAUUCACCACCUGCAUAGUAUGUACUAGUAUAAAGAAAUAUCAUAUUGGUUUAUUGUUUUCACCGUUAUUAGUAAGAUGUAUAAAGAAAUAUCAUAUUGGUUUAUUGGUCUGUAUUGGUGGUAAGCUAAAGAAGAGAGCUUCUACGCGCUAAGAGAGAGAGAGAGGAAUAGAGCCGCUACGUUCAGUUCAGUCAAGUAACGAGGAAAAGCCAAAUGGAAUGAAUGUCUUACUUCUGAGUGAGAGCGCUAGUAAGAGCUAAUGCUUUGCUUUCUCAACACUUUUCACAUAGGAUGGCCCGGCCCGUGGUUUCUCUUGGGGCAUCCUAUGUUCUCGGAAGGGAGGCUAGACUUAUUGACUGAGCGAGACUCCAUCCUACUUUUAUGCAUCCAUCUAGCAAAGCCGCGUGAGUAAAGCACCCUAUACACUUAGUAGUCAAGCCGAAGCUACAUUGUAGACGUGACCGUUCUGUUCUAUUAAGCCUUCCCGCUUUUCCUAUAUCAAACUCAGUAAGAUAUUUACUUGACCUCAAGCUAUCACCUCGACGUUUUGAGAUAGCCUAUAUUUCUAGUUUUGAGCGUAUGCUGUAGCGGGCUUUUUCUUUCUUUUCUCUCCUUACCGGCGAGCCUAUGUGCGAUGCUUGUUUAGGAUUGGAGUCAGCAGGCAAUAGUAACAUCUUCAAACAGGGCAUAAUCGCCUUAUUUCAUUUGCGCGUCACACAAUCCAGCGUAUUUGUCAUGCAUAAACUCAACAGCAAGGUUAGACCUGCUACUGCUGCAACAAUAAGAUGGAAAGCACCUCUGUAGUAGGCUAUGAAGUCCGAUGUGCCGCCGCUUGUGACCCAAGCCUGAAGUAACUGACUCUAAUAAUAAAGUGUACGGAGUAUUGCUUUUCUUUCUUUUAUUUAACCAGCAAACAACGUCGCUCAAAAGAAAAACCCUCAUUUCCGCUUAUGAACCACACCUAUCUUCUCAAUUGCUAACUAAAGCUUGACAUCACCUUCCUUUAUAUGUAUAUAUAAUCUCAUAUUUCAUCUACUUUGUGCUAAAUGGAUAAUAUCAUAUUUCAUCUAUACAGAACCGAGACCUUAACCUCUUCCUAAUAUCUGGGUUCGGUUUUCCUCUUCGCUAGCCGGAGUAUACCACUAGUUCCAAACCCUUUGAAAGAUACAAGGGAAGGGAUCGAUGUCGUUAGGCGAGGUCAACUCUAUCAUAGCUUUCCCUUUGAUAAUCAAUAUAUAAAUAAGCAAGGCAAGUUUGGCUACUACUAUCCCAAUGCAGCAAAGCUAGGUUGUGCUCUUAUGACGGGGAAAGGGUCGACUCCGAAAGAUCAGAGAAAGAACAAUAACCACAUUUGAUCCACACUAAUUGCAAAGAGCCUUUGAGCUACUAUACUGGCAUUUGCUCUAACCGUAGCUUGAACCUUCGUAAUCCAUACUAUACUCUCCGUACCUUAGCUUGUGGUAACCAAUCAUCAAUACUCUCUCAUUUAAUUGUAGUUGAGUUCAGAUUCCGCUUAAGUGAGUUCCAGAAGAGAAGCCUAAAAGCAAUAAAUAAGAAGAACUAGCGUUAGCGAGUUAUUAGUAAGCGCGUUAGUUAGCCCUACUGCUCUCCAAAGUGUUAUAGAAAGUCUCAAGUCAGGUAUCAAUCAAGUGUCAAGUAUCCUUCAAUACUCGUAUAGAUGCGGGUGCCGAUAUUCAAUGGUUAGGUAAAACAAUUAGUCAGUUCCUACAGUCAGGUUACUUCAUUACAUAAUGGGUGCACUCAAUUCGUCACUUCAUCAUGCGCGCGUCGUGGUCCAAGUCACUUUUACGCACAGUCGACUCGGGUUCCUAUUGCGUUUGUACUUCUAGUAUAUUAUUAAGGGUAAUAGAGUUCGGGUCAAUAACUGAUAGGACAGACUUUCCGAGUUCGGGUCAAUAACAGAGUUUUGAAGCAAAGCAGCUUGUUACUAUUCCUCUCUUUUUGGAACGCUCAAUUCUCUUUAACAUUAGUCUAAUAUAAGUGUCGCUUACAGAGUUUACGGCAACCAAGGAUACUCUACUCAUAAAAAGCUACAAGAAAACACUGAACAACGCGCUUGCUGCUGACUUUAUACUUAACCGAACCGCUGAAGAAGGACAAAAAGAUAGACCAGAGAGUAUGACAUUGAUUCUUGCCCUCCCGCCUUACUGACAUUCGAACCUUACUGACAUUCUAACAAGUAAUGAGAAAUUAGCAAGCAACAGAACCCAUCUGACACUUGCACUCAAAGCAAAGAGACUCUAACACAAGCUAGCAACUAAGUAGAAUGUUGCUAAGCGCUAACGGAGGCCGCCCCUAUCUCUCUAGGUUUCACCUCUGGUCAACUCAUCUUAUGGCUAAUCUUUCUCGUGCUAUUGAAUUCACUCGCCCCCUUUAUUGCUAUUGAGUAAAGUACUUGAGCGCGGGUGCCAACAUCAUACAUCCUAUAUGAAAAGAGGUCACACACCUACUCAUAUAGCACAACUGAGGUCACACACCUACUUAUAUAGCAAAGAGGCAGCUGAAUCCAACACUCUCAAUUGGGUUAGGACAAAGGCGGAAGCCAUAGUCGGGAUUAUAAGCAUCAUUAUAAUCAGCAGUGCCAACGUCUUGCUUAGUUGCGGCGGAGUUGCUUGGCUCUUAUUCCUAUUCUCACUUUCUUUAUUACCCCCACACUUCUAUUCUUAAAUGCACUAGAUUACAUACUUGCUUUAAGUCUGACCUUCCAUUCAUAAAUUCAUACUUGAGAGUGGAGAGCGCCUAAUCCAAAUACAUAAAGGAACUGGCACCGAGGAAACAAAUACUUAAUGGAAUCUUUAGAGCUCUAAUGAACCCCCUUCUAUGCAAUACUCUAUUCCUUUCUGCUACAACAACUCUUGUUAUCACGGAGUCUUGCCCGAGUCAAGUCAAACAAUGAAUUUUGGAAUAUGACCCGAUCUAUGCCCAAAACCUUUAUAACUUGCAUUAGCCGAAAACAGCACUUUCACUUGCUUGCUCUGCUUGUGCACCAGUACAGGAUUUGAUCUUUAUGAUUUGAUUUAGCGCGUAGCUACGUAGGCAUUGUAUUCGAGAUUCUCUUCGGCUUCCCGCUUAUGGAUUUCUAAUUUAAGUACGAGUGCUUUCUUCGUAGGUAGGCUCAAUCCGAUUCUUCUUAAACC
rnacentral:lncRNA from 1 species